CGCGCGUUCGUCUAAGGUAGGACACCUGACCUUCACUCAGGAUGGCAAGAGUUCAAAUCUCUUACGCGCGACCA
rnacentral:tRNA from 1 species